rnacentral:rRNA from 1 species
AUUGAACGCUGGCGGCAUGCUUUACACAUGCAAGUCGAACGGUAACAGGCCGCAAGUUGCUGACGAGUGGCGAACGGGUGAGUAAUGCAUCGGAACGUGCCCAGUCGUGGGGGAUAACGCAGCGAAAGCUGCGCUAAUACCGCAUACGAUCUAUGGAUGAAAGCGGGGGACCGUAAGGCCUCGCGCGAUUGGAGCGGCCGAUGUCAGAUUAGGUAGUUGGUGGGGGAAAGGCUCACCAAGCCAACGAUCUGUAGCUGGUCUGAGAGGACGACCAGCCACACUGGGACUGAGACACGGCCCAGACUCCUACGGGAGGCAGCAGUGGGGAAUUUUGGACAAUGGGCGCAAGCCUGAUCCAGCAAUGCCGCGUGCAGGAAGAAGGCCUUCGGGUUGUAAACUGCUUUUGUACGGAACGAAACGGUCCGGGUUAAUACCCUGGGCUAAUGACGGUACCGUAAGAAUAAGCACCGGCUAACUACGUGCCAGCCGCCGCGGUAAUAC